ensembl:lncRNA
GCACAAUUGUCAAUCAACAGUUACUUAUAAUUUACAUUUAUGUAUGUAUUUAUUUCUGUAUUCAUUUAUGUAUUCAUUCAUUCAUUCAUGUAUUUAUUUAUUUAUUCAUUCAUUCAUUCAUUCAUUCGUGCAUUUAUUUAUUUAUUUAUUCAUUCAUUCAUUCAUUCAUUGUUCCCAAUAUGAUAAUGAGAGGAGGCCAGUAGGCGUGGAAACUGACGUUCAGACAUUUUGCAAUCAAUCCAGAGCCUUAGAUUCAAUCUAGCUAACUAGUGCAAGCACUUCUGCAUUUUCCCGUAAGAUCUGCAUAUAAUAUUUCAAGCUAGCUAAUAACCUAUAAAGAUUCUUUAUUAUUGUUAUUUAUUCAGUCUCGGGCGAGAGACUGUGGAGAGGUAUCUAUCUAGCUAGCUAGGUUGGUGACAAUCUAGAGAACAGUACAGUAACGUAGCAGUGUGGAGCAAGAUAGCUGCUAGUAACGUUAUUGUUCAAGGGAUGUGUGUGCGUGUUGCUGAAAGUAUUUCAGUCACUGUAGCGAUAACUUCCUUGUAAAAUGAUGAUACUGAUGUAAUGCUAUGGCUUUGUAUCAGAUCGCCAGGUUAUUGCUCUCAGGUUGUGCCUUAUGCAUACCUUGGGAUACUCAGGAGUAGGUUGCCCAUUCACAAAAUGUUACAAUGUGCUGCUUUAGUAUUGCCUAUUGUGUUAAAAUUGUGUUCAAAUAAGGCCCAUUUUAUAAGUAUGCUCAUUUU